rnacentral:tRNA from 1 species
GAGCCGAUAGCUCAGUCGGUAGAGCGGAAAGCUUAUACCUUUCUGGUCGGGGGUUCGAGUCCCUCUCGGCUCA